CAGUAGCCGCGGUAAUACGGAGGGGGCUAGCGUUGUUCGGAUUUACUGGGCGUAAAGCGCACGUAGGCGGAUCCUUAAGUCAGAGGUGAAAUCCCAAGGCUCAACCUUGGAACUGCCUUUGAUACUGGGGAUCUCGAGUUCGGGAGAGGUGAGUGGAACUGCGAGUGUAGAGGUGAAAUUCGUAGAUAUUCGCAAGAACACCAGUGGCGAAGGCGGCUCACUGGCCCGAUACUGACGCUGAGGUGCGAAAGCGUGGGGAGCAAACAGGAUUAGAUACCCCUGUAGUCCCUGUCUCUUAUAA
rnacentral:rRNA from 1 species